rnacentral:misc_RNA from 1 species
GAUGAAGAACGUAGCGAAAUGCGAUAAGUAAUGUGAAUUGCAGAAUUCAGUGAAUCAUCGAAUCUUUGAACGCACCUUGCGCCCUUUGGCUAUUCCGAAGGGCAUGCCUGUUUGAGUAUCGUGAACACCUCAACUCUCAUGGUUUGCCAUGAUGAGCUUGGACUUUGGGGGUUUUGCUGGCCUUUGGUCGGCUCCUCUCAAACGGAUCAGCUUUCCAGUGUUUGGUGGCGUCACGGGUGUGAUAACUAUCUACGCCUGUGGUUUUCUGCCAGAUAACCUUCAGCGAUGGAGGUUCGCUGGGGCUCAUAAAUUUCUCUCUUCAGUGGAGACAGCUUUUUGGACGUUUGAUCUCAAAUCAGGUAGGACUACCCGCUGAACUUAAGCAUAUCAAUAAGCGGAGGA